rnacentral:rRNA from 1 species
AUUGAACGCUGGCGGAAUGCUUUACACAUGCAAGUCGAACGGUAGAGGGGCAACCCUUGAGAGUGGCGAACGGGUGAGUAAUGUAUCGGAACAUGCCCAGUCGUGGGGGAUAACGUAGCGAAAGUUACGCUAAUACCGCAUACGAUCUAUGGAUGAAAGCGGGGGAUCGCAAGACCUCGCGCGAUUGGAGUGGCCGAUAUCAGAUUAGGUAGUUGGUGGGGUAAAGGCCUACCAAGCCGACGAUCUGUAGCUGGUCUGAGAGGACGACCAGCCACACUGGGACUGAGACACGGCCCAGACUCCUACGGGAGGCAGCAGUGGGGAAUUUUGGACAAUGGGCGCAAGCCUGAUCCAGCCAUUCCGCGUGCAGGAAGAAGGCCUUCGGGUUGUAAACUGCUUUUGUACGGAACGAAACGCGCUGAGCCAAUACCUCGGCGUAAUGACGGUACCGUAAGAAUAAGCACCGGCUAACUACGUGCCAGCAGCCGCCGUAA